CAAGUUCGAUAAAACAAUUAUUUAUAAGUUAUGUAGAGGUCACGGAAAAGAUAAAAAUUAAAAAUCACGUUAAAAGUAAUUAUUAGUUAUCAAAACUUAUGAUAAUUAUUGUAUCAUCAUUGAAUGAUAACCUUUAAUACAUAGAAUGAAUUGCAUAACCGUUCAUUUAAGAUUCAAUGUACCAAUAGAUGAUUCCUUAAACAUAAUUGACUGGCCCGUAAUAGGACGAUUCAAUUUAUUAAAUUUUUAUGCAACCCAGCAUUAGUAUAUUAUAAAAGUAAUGAGUGAAGCCUAUUACAAAUAAUCUCACAUAUGGUGAAAAGACAAUAUGGUUAUUACAUAAAACACCGUCAGCGACUACUAGUGCAGCUAAUAGAUACAUUCGAAUGUGACACCCGAGUGUCAAAUUAAAAAUGUAUUUUUUUAUAUAAAAUAGCGUCCGCGUUGUGGCCGGUUCUUGACAACAGUCACCAUUAUAUUAAAGUAAUGUUAUAGCUUUGAUAAAAUAGUUUGUGGAUAAAUGGAACUAUAGCAAUCAAUGGAAUUGUAACAGGUUUCCAUUUUAUAUUAAAGAAUUCCAUAGACAUAACGAAAAUAGUCGUAAAACCGGAAGAAGCCACAAUAGACUUCACCAAUAAAAAUCCCAACCCAGAUUACAAGCUACAAGUAUGUUUAAGAACUGAUGAAGAUUUCAACAAAGAUUAAAUGUUGUCAGUGUCGUUUAAAACUAAAUUAAAGGUUUACCGUGGGUAGAAGAGUUAUCGGUUUACCAGGAAAAUUCCUAUUCUAGAAGAAUUGGUCUCGGGUGGAGUUAUCUUAUUGAUACUGACACGGACAGUUUCAUAAUACAAGUAAACCUGAAUAGUCAUUUGAUGAAUGUAAAACAAAUUACAAUAGAACCAUUGAAAUGUAAACCAUGGCCGAGCUUGUGCUGCACAACUAUUGCUCCGGAUGACCAAAAACCUGUUAAAUCAACCUAUGCUUACACCAAAAACAUGACAAUCAAAUGUGACAUUCCUUGGACGCACAAUCUUUCAAGUCUCAUUCACAAUCAAUGGUGAGGAAGUAUCUCCUGCUGAUGUUAAAUUGUGUGAGCAAGUUUCCUAGUUAUGUAGUUACAAGUAACAGAAGAAUUAUCAACACACGAUAAACAACCUAAAACUUGGUUCAAAUAUCACAUAAUUAGAGUAAUGUCAGACUUGCAGUCAUAAAGUCAAGCUAACAAAAUACACAGCAACUUCAGCAGAUAUACCGUCGAAAGUGUCAUACACUACAAAAAGUGUCAGAGAUCAGUACACGAAAAAAACUUUCACAGUGAAAAUAUUAACAUAUAUUUAUUUUUAAAUAGGCAUUGUUUAUGAUAAUAGUACUUAUUUAAGCACACUCACAUUACUUUCUUUGUCAAACUCAGAAGUUAGUCUUGCUUGUUAUAUUUUGAUACGUAUUAACCGUAAAAUAAUUAACUUCAUGUUUUUAAAAAACAAGUUUGUUUUCUAAGUAUAGGGUAAAUAUAUUAUUGGAUAUAUUUUGGUAGUUGUAUUCAGGGGUUCGCAGUUAUAGAACAUUUUCAAAAAGGUUUCAUUUUAUAGCUAAAUAAUAUAAACUUUAGUUUUCCUUUUCUAUUACUUCAUAUAUUGCUCUAUAUAUGGCUCUAUUGUAAUUUGUUUUCAUUCAUUAAAUGAUUAUUCAGGGAUACUGCAAGUAUGAAACCGCCCACGUCUGUAUCAUUAGGAUAACUCCACCCGAGACCAAUUCUUCUAGAAUAGGAAUUUUUCUGGUAAACAGAUAACUCUUCUACCGGCGGUAAGACUGAAAAACGACAUGAGACUUUUAAAAUACAUUUCUUAUAAGAAUCUGUAUGAGAUUUCCACACGGACAACUUUUAUAGCCAGUUUUAUAGACAACUUUUUUAUUUAAACAAAUUAAUAUGUUUUUUCAUUCAUAAUAAGGUGGUACAUACCUUUUAAUUUGGUUUUAAACGGAACUAACAACAUUUAUUUUUUGUUGAAAUCUUCAUCGUUUUUUUAAAAUUCUUGUAGUUCGUAAUCUGUAUUGGGAUUUGUAUUGGUAAAGUCUAUUGUGACUUCUUUUUUACUAUUUUUGUUUCGUACAUUAAAAAAAUGUAUGGUCUAUUAUUAUUUUAAAUGAAAGAACUCUUGUUUACUACUUUUUAGUUUUGUAUACAAGUUAUUUAACUGCUUUAAAUUGCUUAAAUCGUGCGUAACAAAUUUACAAUUACUUACCUUUAAUAUUAAAUGGAAUCCUGUUACGAUUCCGUUGAGUUAACUACAGUUACUUUUGUCCAAAAACUAUUUUAUCAAUGCUGUUUCGUUACUUUAAUAAAUUAGAGACAGUUGUCAAGAACUGACCAUAACGUGGACUCUAUUUUGUAGAAAAAAAUACUUUCCUCAUUUGUCACCCGGGUGUCACACCCGAAUGUAUCUAUAUUAACUGCACUAGUACUCACUGAUUGUAUUUUUGUAAUAAUCAUAUUGUCAUUUUCGUCAUACAUGAAAUUAUAUUGUAAUCUCUUUUACUUUUAUAUUUAUAUAUGCAUCGCUCAAUUUCUAUGGCAUGUAAACAGUCAUAUGUGUUGUGUGCUAUUAUAUUUUGGAUAAAUUACUAUUGAUUAAAUUUACAUGUAAUACAUUUAAUCUAUGAUGCUACUAUAUCCUGUAAAGAAAAACCAAUGAUGUAAAAAUAAUUGUUGUAUGAUAUACUCAGUUGUAAUUUCACAUAUGAUAGGGACCUUGCAUAUUAGUGGGUUCUUAAAAAAUCCUUAUAUGGUUUGACAGUCUCUAAAAUUGGCAUUACUGUCACUUAAACACUGUGAACAUGAGCAGAUUUAAUUUUAACAUGUAUUUGUUGAUACUUGAUUUUAUAUACAUUAAUAUUGUUUGAUUUGGACUGUAGAAAUAAUAUGUAUUUAAAAUAAAAAAAGAAUACUUGAUUUAUAAUUCUUGUAUUAGUUUUAAGAAAUAUUUAUUAUAUGUUAACUUAAAAACUAACGAGACAAAAUAGUAGUGAAAGUUAAAAAAAAAAAUUGUUAA